GCACUCUAAAAGGCGGGCCCCGUUGGCCGUA
rnacentral:sRNA from 1 species